UACGGAGGGUGCGAGCGUUGUCCGGAAUCACUGGGCGUAAAGGGCGCGUAGGUGGCGCGAGGAGUCAACGGUGAAAGCUCGGCGCUCAACGCCGAGUCGGCCGUCGAUACUCUCGUGCUUGAGCACUGUAGAGGCUAAUGGAAUUCCGGGUGUAGCGGUGGAAUGCGUAGAGAUCCGGAAGAACACCGGUGGCGAAGGCGGUUAGCUGGGCAGUUGCUGACACUGAGGCGCGACAGCGUGGGGAGCAAACAGG
rnacentral:rRNA from 1 species